CAUAUACUCCCUCCGUCCGGAAAUACUUGUCAUCAAAAUGGAGAAAAAAGGAUGUAUUCUAGAACUAAAAUACAUCUAGAUGCAUCUCCUUUUAUUUAUUUUGAUGACAAGUAUUUCUGGACGGAGGGAGUACUAU
rfam:Triticum aestivum genome assembly, contig: Triticum_aestivum_CS42_TGACv1_scaffold_320690_4BL